rnacentral:misc_RNA from 1 species
UCCGGCUUAUCACCGGCAGUCCCACUAGAGUGCCCAACUUAAUGAUGGCAACUAAUGGCAGGGGUUGCGCUCGUUGCGGGACUUAGCCCAACAUCUCACGACACGAGCUGACGACAGCCAUGCAGCACCUGUGUCCAGGUUCCCUUUCGGGCACCCCUCCAUCUCUGGAGGGUUCCUGGCAUGUCAAGGGUAGGUAAGGUUGUUCGCGUUGCAUCGAAUUAAACCACAUGCUCCGCUGCUUGUGCGGGGCCCCGUCAAUUCCUUUGAGUUUUAGCCUUGCGGCCGUACUCCCCAGGCGGGGCACUUAGUGCGUUAGCGACGGCACGGGAGGAGUCGACACCUCCCACACCUAGUGCCCAUCGUUUACGGCGUGGACUAC